GCGGGUAUGGCGGAAUUGGCAGACGCGCAAGAUUCAGGUUCUUGUCUUUGCAAGAGGGUGCAGGUUCAAGUCCUGUUACCCGCA
rnacentral:tRNA from 1 species